GAAUUCUAAUCUUGUGUCAGGACCUACGGGCCAAGGGACAGUCUCAGGUAGACAGUUUCUAUGGAGCGUAGGCCUCCCAACCGGAUGUCCAGAUGCCUCCAAAAUAGGAAUAAAGCAGCAAAAUGAUUUGCUGCCGGAAAAACCACCAUGUGCGCCAUAAUGACAGAAAAUAAGGUACACAUACACCCAGAGUUUAUUCGUGUCUUCAGCUUGUUAGAACUCCAAGAAAUAGACUCUUCCGGCUUUGAUUGGCAAGAAUUAUAAAUCAGACAAGAGAAAGUUGAUGAUCAGCUAUCGCACAGAAUAGAGAAUGGAUGUAUCCUGUAAUUGGAAGAUGAUGGAGAGCUAGUACACUACCAUUUUUUGCUAUGGUAUCCUCAUGUUCUCAUACCGAUAGAACUUUUAAAGUCGGCAAAACAGCAAACUUUUUAAUAGCAGCAACUUAGAAAUGGAACUAAAUGAAUGGCAAACUGGAAAAGGUGGGACCAUUCUCCUGUCAAAAACCCACAAGUUCUUGAGUGAACUGAACCUUCACAAUGCUGUAGAAUCUAAUAUCUGGUGACUACAAGUUGCA
rnacentral:lncRNA from 1 species